CCAGGGGUCAUGUUGCUUGUGUGGCCGGUGUGAAUGUGACCGGGGGCUUGGCAGGGAUGACUGGGGCCUUGGCAGGGGUGAUGGGGGGCUUGGCAAGGGUGGCAGGGGGCGAGGUACAGCCAAUACCCCCCGGCAUACAUGCCCUCAAAACUGCAGGAGAUGGAGGACAGCGGGGAGAUGAAGGAAUUUGAGUAGCGGGCGGUCCGAGCGGCCCACAGCACCCACACCACCUCCGUACUCCACCACCCGCUUGUCAGGAAAUUCACCAACCACAUCAUGAAAACAGGAAACAAACCUCUGGCCAGGGAACUUGUCGAGAAGGUCAAAGGUCACAACUAGCCAGCCGGGAGUGGGUCAGGAUAGCACGGCUGGCUGUGGU
rnacentral:lncRNA from 1 species